CUGUACUUUCUAAAAAGCAGAAUAUGAGAAAACUGAUGAGUUGCGAUUGCUUUGUGAUGCAGUUAAUGCCACACAAUGCGUCUUGGUGGACAACGAAUUUCUCUGUACUGUAUUGGGGAUGAUGUUUCCCGUUCUUAUUCUGCAUUACAGCUGGGUUUCCAAAGGCUGUAGAAGCUAGUACUACAAGCAUGUAACUAUUGAGGUCUUCAGGGUAUCCUGUAUAUACUUCCAGGUGCGGCGGGAAUGGUCAAAAAUAUCGCUGAAGAACUUGAGCAAGCAAUGGCUGAACUGAAAAUUGGAUCGGCUGGAGCUUCUGCCUGGGCAUCUGCUGAAGGAUCCUCAGAAAACGGAGACCAGGAGCCACUUUCCAGGGCAAUGUAAGAGUAUCACGCCGUUUCCGCCAAAAACGAUGUGCUCUGACUUGGACAAAAAUGCUAGGGAGCAGCCGCUCUGGAAGUAGCUGCGUUUGCCGUUUCAUGCCUGCCGAAGUGGUGAGCCAGCAGAAGAUGCUGGGGCAGAGGAAGUCCCCAUUCCAGAAAGCUAAGAGUGGUUAUCCUGAGACGAAUGAAGCCUGGGGAAAUGUGCCUUCUGCCUCUUAACGGAGUGGUGUGUAGAUAAUAACACGCUGUAUUUAAAUGAAAGUAUUCUGUUCCAACUUGGUACUUAAUAAAUUUUGCAGUCUA